rnacentral:pre_miRNA from 1 species
UUUGAUCACUGGUUACUGAGGUUGUUUUGUCAUAAGCUUCGUUUUCUGGCGAUCAAAUA